UUGAGUGAGUGGCGAACUGGUGAGUAACACGUGGGAAACCUGCCCAGAAGCGGGGGAUAACACCUGGAAACAGAUGCUAAUACCGCAUAACAACUUGGACCGCAUGGUCCGAGCUUGAAAGAUGGCUUCGGCUAUCACUUUUGGAUGGUCCCGCGGCGUAUUAGCUAGAUGGUGGGGUAACGGCUCACCAUGGCAAUGAUACGUAGCCGACCUGAGAGGGUAAUCGGCCACAUUGGGACUGAGACACGGCCCAAACUCCUACGGGAGGCAGCAGUAGGGAAUCUUCCACAAUGGACGAAAGUCUGAUGGAGCAACGCCGCGUGAGUGAAGAAGGGUUUCGGCUCGUAAAACUCUGUUGUUAAAGAAGAACAUAUCUGAGAGUAACUGUUCAGGUAUUGACGGUAUUUAACCAGAAAGCCACGGCUAACUACGUGCCAGCAGCCGCGGUAAUACGUAGGUGGCAAGCGUUGUCCGGAUUUAUUGGGCGUAAAGCGAGCGCAGGCGGUUUUUUAAGUCUGAUGUGAAAGCCUUCGGCUCAACCGAAGAAGUGCAUCGGAAACUGGGAAACUUGAGUGCAGAAGAGGACAGUGGAACUCCAUGUGUAGCGGUGAAAUGCGUAGAUAUAUGGAAGAACACCAGUGGCGAAGGCGGCUGUCUGGUCUGUAACUGACGCUGAGGCUCGAAAGUAUGGGUAGCAAACAGGAUUAGAUACCCUGGUAGUCCAUACCGUAAACGAUGAAUGCUAAGUGUUGGAGGGUUUCCGCCCUUCAGUGCUGCAGCUAACGCAUUAAGCAUUCCGCCUGGGGAGUACGGGCCGCAAGGCUGAAACUCAAAGGAAUUGACGGGGGCCCGCACAAGCGGUGGAGCAUGUGGUUUAAUUCGAAGCUACGCGAAGAACCUUACCAGGUCUUGACAUACUAUGCAAAUCUAGAGAUUAGACGUUCCCUUCGGGGACAUGAUACAGGUGUGCAU
rnacentral:rRNA from 2 species